rnacentral:tRNA from 1 species
UCCUGAGUGGCUUAGUCAGUUAAGCAUCUGACUUCAGCUCAGGUCAUGAUUUCAUGGCUCAUGAGUUCAAGCCCCAUGUCAGGCU